rnacentral:rRNA from 1 species
AUUGAACGCUGGCGGCAGGCCUAACACAUGCAAGUCGAACGAGUGGCAGACGUGUGAGUAAUGUCUGGGAAACUGCCUUAUGGAGGGGGAUAACUACUGCAAACGCUAGCUUAUACCGCCUACCCUCCGAUGUGCCCAUAUCGGAUUAGCUAGUUGGUGUGGUAACGGCUCACCAGGGCGACGAUCCCUAGCCGGCCUGAGAGGAUGACCGGCCACACUGGAACUGAGACACGGUCCAGACUCCUACGGGAGGCAGAAGUGGGGAAUAUUGGACAAGGGGCGAAAGCCUGACGGAGCAAUGCCGCGUGUAUGAAGAAGGCUUUCGGGUUGUAAAGCACUGUUAGUGGGGAGGCGUUACCUGCCGAAGAAGCAACGGCUAACUACGUGCCAGCAGCCGCGGUAAUUC